rnacentral:rRNA from 1 species
GACGGAGGAUGCAAGUGUUAUCCGGAAUCACUGGGCGUAAAGCGUCUGUAGGUGGUUUAAAAAGUCUGCUGUUAAAGCUUGAAGCUUAACUUCAAAAAUGCGGUAGAAACUUUUAAACUUGAGUAUGGUAGGGGUAGAGGGAAUUUCCAGUGGAGCGGUGAAAUGCGUAGAUCUUGGAAAGACCACCAAUGGCGAAGGCACUCUACUGGGCCAUAACUGACACUAAGAGACGAAAGCUAGGGGAGCAAAUGGG